GAGAGAAAUGGAGAGGGAAGCAGCUUACGAAGAAAGCGCCGUAACAGGAGUUGAAACAAUUAUUCCAGGUGAACAAGACACAGAAGCUGUUAAAGCUGGCAAGAAAACUAUCGAGACGAUCAAAGGAGCUGAAAGAAUCAUGGAGGCCAUUGAAUUGU